rnacentral:rRNA from 1 species
GUCGAGGGGCAGCAUGAAAGUUUGCUUGCAAACUUUUGAUGGCGACCGGCGCAUGGGUGAGUAACACGUAUCCAACCUGCCUCAUACUCGGGGAUAGCCUUUCGAAAGAAAGAUUAAUACCCGAUGUCAUAGUCCUACCGCAUGAUGGGAUUAUUAAAGAAUUUCGGUAUGGGAUGGGGAUGCGUUCCAUUAGUUAGUUGGCGGGGUGACGGCCCACCAAGACAACGAUGGAUAGGGGUUCUGAGAGGAAGGUCCCCCACAUUGGAACUGAGACACGGUCCAAACUCCUACGGGAGGCAGCAGUGAGGAAUAUUGGUCAAUGGACGAGAGUCUGAACCAGCCAAGUAGCGUGAAGGAUGACUGCCCUAUGGGUUGUAAACUUCUUUUAUAUGGGAAUAAAACGUUCCACGUGUGGAAUUUUGUAUGUACCAUAUGAAUAAGGAUCGGCUAACUCCGUGCCAGCAGCCGCGGUAAUACGGAGGAUCCGAGCGUUAUCCGGAUUUAUUGGGUUUAAAGGGAGCGUAGGUGGAUUGUUAAGUCAGUUGUGAAAGUUUGCGGCUCAACCGUAAAAUUGCAGUUGAAACUGGCAGUCUUGAGUACAGUAGAGGUGGGCGGAAUUCGUGGUGUAGCGGUGAAAUGCUUAGAUAUCACGAAGAACUCCGAUUGCGAAGGCAGCUCACUGGACUGCAACUGACACUGAGGCUCGAAAGUGUGGGUAUCAAACAGGAUUAGAUACCCUGGUAGUCCACACAGUAAACGAUGAAUACUCGCUGUUUGCGAUAUACAGCAAGCGGCCAAGCGAA